AUGCAUAUAUGUACAGUAUACACUCACACAUGUAUCCAGAGUUAUUUAUUAACACAUUUUAACCUGUACUUCAUUCCAGAAUAUCAAGGGACUUCACAUUGUCAAUAUGGUUCACAUUUGCAGAGAAAAUAUAAGAUUCCUUUUUUGCUCAUUACAGUUGAGGUUUGUUUGUUUGUUUUUUGUUUGUUGUUGUUGUUAUUGUUAUUUUUAUUAACUUUCAGUUCUAUUACAACUGGUGGCAAUCCUAAGGUGAAUUUAUCAUGGGGUUUUCUUGUGAUGAUUUUUUUAAUGAAGCUCAAACAGAAAGUUAACUUGUCCAUGUCCUUUAUUUCUUCUACUUUCUCCAGCCAAUGUUCCAGUUGCGGAAUCUCUUCUGUUUUCCAUCUUUUUGCAAUUAUCAUUCUUGCUGCUGUACAAAUAUACGUAAAUAGUUUGUCGUCAUUAGUGUCUAAUUUAAGCGAUGUGUCUAAUAUUCCCAGUAAAUAGUACUCAGGUUUCAUAGGGUAUUUUAUAUUCAAUAUUUUUUGUGACUCUACGUGGAUCAUUUUCCAAAAUUUUUGUAGCUUUUCGCAUGUCCACCAUGCAUGAAAAAAUGUCCCUUCCUGCUUUUUACAUUUCCAACACUUUUUCUGAUAAUUUUUAUACAUUGUAUUUAGCUUUUUGGGGGUCAUGUACCAUCUAUGGAAUAUCUUUAACCAAUUUUCUUUUAAAUCCCAUGCAUAGGUAUAUUUUAACUUCUUAUUCCAAAUCUGCUCCCAUUCUUCCAUUCUUAUUGGGCGACCAACAUUUUUUGCCCAUCUAAUCAUGCAAUUUUUCACUGAUUCAGUUUCAGUGGACCAACCUAAUAACAUAUUGUAAAUCUUAGAAAUUUCCUUCCUGUUUGUUGAUAUGAUUUUAUCCCAUAUACCCUCCUCUCCACUGAAGCCUACUAUUUUAUCUUUUAUAAAUUGCUCUUUAAUUUGCGCAUAUUGGAACCAGGAAAUACUUUUAAACCUAUCUUUCAGUUCUUCCUGAGGCUUUAAUUCGUAUGUUCCCUCCUUUUUCUUCAAAAGUUCUUUAUAUCUGGGCCAAUUCUUCCAUCCUAAUAUAUUUCUUUGGCUUGCUUCCAACGGCGAGGUCCAUAGUGGGGUUUUAUUAUACAUAAAUUUUUUGUACUUCUCCCAAACCUUAAUUAAGGACGACCUAAUAAAAUGGUUGCCAAAAUUUUUCUCUACCAACCGUUUUUCAUACCACAGGUAUGCAUGCCACCCUCUGCGCAAAUCGAACCCCUCAAGGGCCAAGGUAUUUUCGUCGGCCAGGGUGAUCCAUUCCUUGACCCAUUUUAGGGCGCAUGCUUCAUAAUAAAGCUGUAAAUUUGGAAGGCCGAAU
rnacentral:lncRNA from 1 species